AGAAAAGUAAGCUAAUAAAA
rnacentral:tRNA from 1 species